AGACCGAUAGCAACCACGUGAUCAGUAAAAAUCGUGUAUUUUCACGUGAAAUUAUUUUUCGGAAUUCCGUACAUCGCCAUAGAGUAGUUGAAAAACAAAAAGGGGUUCCGAAAGUACAAGUUCCUGUGACUGAAUCGAUGAUUGAGAGGGUCGUCUCGACGAAAGAUAUAGAAAUUUGGCCAUAGUUUAGAUUAGGAAUACGUCAAUGUAAUAAUAGUGGACUACAUGUUUCGUCCGUGCAGAAUGGCACUUUUUACCUCACGAAAUUCACCACCAUGCAUAGCUGCGCUACGUAAACAAAGUUGUUGAUGUAGCGUGAUCGUGGUGUCCGAGUGCUGCGAGUUUCAAUACUGUUUAUGUAGUCAUUGAGAGUUUAAACAAAGUUUCUUCUGAGAAGAGGAAUUCGAUGGAUGCAUUCAACGUGGACAACGAAAUCAUAAUUUCGUUUGCAUCAUCCUAAGGACCAGUGCAAGUUGAAAUGGGCUUCCAGCCAACAACUUCAACAGCAAUUUGCCAUGAAAAUCAGCAAGAAAGGUACUUCAUUUACAUUGAUGAUGUCAUAUCCCCUGGACCCCACAACUUCACAGGUUACAGAGAAAAUUCAAGAACUUCUGCAAAAUGUGGGACUUGGAUAGAAUCAAUAAUGUAUUUGUGAGCCCAGAGCAAUGGAUAUAUUGUGCAACAUACUAAAGUGUGAAUUUAAUGGAAAACAAGUACAUGUACUCAUGUAUUACAUGUCUUUUUUAAAGACAAUAAUAUUGUAUAAAUAUAGAGGAAGUGUCAUUGUUGAUUAUUCUAAGUUUUUGAUAUAUCAAAAUCAGUAAACAUUUCUAAAUGAAAAUAAAAUACCAAUUUUAUAACUUUAAUCAAUGUGUUUGAAUUUCUCAUUUUCUAACCCCCCCCCCCCCCCCCCCCCCCGUUACACACACUCAGUGCAUAUAUACUGCCAAACGCUCAGCAUCAGGUGUGAAUGUCACUGGUCCUCGGAGAUGACCAUCAAAACGGAUGCCCAGUGUCACAGUAGAUGUGGCACGCUAAAGAACCCUCACUGCUCAAUGGCCGUAAGCGCCGAGCAAAGGCCUAAAUUUAAAGCCGUUCACCGGUCUUGGUAACGUCUCCAUAUGAGUAAAAAAUUCUCGAGAGAGACGUUAAACAAGAUACAAUCAAUCCAUGGGUCGAUUGGGUGGAAAUCUUUCCAUUGAUAUUAAAUAUAAAGUUGUUAUUUAAACAUAUUUGGUGCACUAUGCUGUAUAAUCAUAUCAAUUUCUUAUAAUAGGUAAUCGUGUCUGGUUAUUAUAAAAAAAAUGUAUGAAAAAUAACUAAAUAUUAAUGCAAUCAUUGUGAGUGCAAAAAGGUCAAUCGCAAGAGCACAUACAUAAAUGCAUUGGCGGAUAUAGUGGGUGGGGUGGGGGGCAACCGGCGCGAGCCCCCCUAAAAUUUUCAAGUUUAAAGUAAAUCGUGGUCUCUUGUUUAGAGAAAUAUAUACGAUAAAAGAAUCCAUAAUUUCCUCCACUCUCAGAGAAAUAAAUGUCUGACAAAAUCUUUUGAUUUAUUGAAUUACUUUUAGUGGGAGAACGGCUACUUUUUCCAAAAACCCUUAAAAUUUGCGUUAUUUUAUUAAUUUCACCUUAUUAAAAAUGACAGAAAAUAAUAAAAAUGACUACAUAGGAGACAUAUUUUAAGCCCUAAAAAAUCUGUAAAAUCCAGGAGUUUCUGGGGAAUCGCACCCCCCCCCCCCCCUUUCAAGGCGGCCCCCAGACCCCUGCCUCAUACAGUUGCACCCCCCUCCCAACUUCAAUUCCUGAUCCGCCCCUGAAAUAGCUUAUAGAAACCUUCUUAUUGUCAUGUUCAAUUUUCAAAGAGGUAAUUUGGGAAUGCUUAAACAUUCUAAGUUAUAAAAAGGUCAGUAGUUUAUCUCUGCUGGCUGAAUCUUUCUUCUCAAUGCACCGAGUGCAUAUUCAUGACGUCUAUGUUCCUGCUCAUUCUUUCUCCUCCAUACCAUGCAGUAUAUUAAAGGGGUUGGGAUGUAAUGGAGACAUUUGUUUUAACAAAUAUAAAUUGUAUUUCAAUUUUUUGUGGGGAUUUUUAUUUGAGAAAACUCUUAAUAUUAAUCAUCAAAUAUGAUGACGUAUGAUAAAUCUAUAUUCUGAGUGUAAGUGCACAAAGGUCAACAACGAGAACUACAACAAAAUAUAAGCUAAAAUUUGAAAUACAUACUUUCUGUAUUAUAUUUAUUAAUUUAAAAAAGGUAUUACAAAGAAUCUUCGAAUUUCAGCAAGCUGUUUUUGAUGGAUUGUUUACAACAUCUUUUAAUAACCCUUUUUCUUACGAAAAUGUGUAGUUUGUUAAAAUGGGGUGGGGUUAGGAAUUUUUUGCUAGUUCCAUAUUGAACCCCAUUAUGGUGUAUAAUUUUUUUCAUAUAUUUUACUUACUAAUAGACUGACCACUUAAUGAAAUAAAAUAAGAAAUUUGAUGGGUAAUUUUUUUGCAGCUUAAGCAAAGGUAUGACCCUGUGUGCAAAUAUUGUGCACUGUUUUAAGGUAAUUGGCCAAUGUAGCUCUGUUGAAGUAAUGUUGUUGCAUGUUAAUAAUGAUUGCUGAACUUGAAAUUGAUGUGUAAUAUACAAUUAUGUGAAAGGUUGUUUGGAACCAUAUAUGACAAGUUAUGAUCCUUUUUACAAUAAAAAUGUUAUAGCUCUAUUUGUA